ACAUGGUUGCAUGUCUUACAUCUGAAAUGCACAACUCACAGAAUUCAUCAAAUGCCAUUUAGAUAGCAAAUACAAAAACUUCAAGUCAGUAAGAGGUCGCAAACAUCUAAGAUAUUAGCAUAAUCCCUUGCACGAAUAAACCAAAUGAAAAUGUGCAUCAAAAGCCAGUGGAACUGAAGACACAAAAAGUAGCAACAAAUAUAACAUUCAAUAACAUCCAACAAAACCACAACACAAUGCUACGUACUCAGUCUUCAAUGAUAAUAAGAAUCUUUGUUAAUUGGCAUUUUCUAUGAUUCAAUUAAAAAUGGGUAAAAUAGAAGAUGAUAAAAAUAAACAAUGUGAUAACCAGAAAAUAUAUACAUAAUGAGCAGGUGCAAUUUCCCAGAACAAGCCCCUCCAGCUAAACAUGCAUUACAUUACAUGUAAGGAUCAUAAAGAAACAAUAUAGUUUCGCAUGAAUCAAAUAUAUUAUUGCAUUAUAACCACACUUGUAAAUAGUCCAAGCACAUUGCAUUGGCACCCCUAGUCAAAUACUGCAGUCACAAUUAAAAGAUAAAAUAAAGGAACGGCACACUAGCUCCAAGCAAACUAUCGCUGUGAAAAAUUAAAAAAGAAUACAAAAAAAGAGAAGCUCUGAAAGGAAUAUCUAACGAGUCUGACCUCAAUUCUGAGAUAUGCAGGACA
rnacentral:misc_RNA from 1 species